UACGGGGGGGGCAAGCGUUGUUCGGAAUUACUGGGCGUAAAGGGUUUGUAGGUGGCCAACUAAGUCAGACGUGAAAUCCCUCGGCUUAACCGGGGAACUGCGUCUGAUACUGGAUGGCUGGAGUGUGGGAGAGGGAUGCGGAAUUCCAGGUGUAGCGGUGAAAUGCGUAGAUAUCUGGAGGAACACCGGUGGCGAAGGCGGCAUCCUGGACCAUUACUGACACUGAAAAGCGAAAGCCAGGGGAGCAAACGGG
rnacentral:rRNA from 1 species